rnacentral:rRNA from 2 species
CGGACGAUGAACCGCUUUCGGGCGGGGAUUAGUGGCGAACGGGUGAGUAACACGUGGGCAAUCUGCCCUGCACUCUGGGACAAGCCCUGGAAACGGGGUCUAAUACCGGAUAUGACUGUCCAUCGCAUGGUGGAUGGUGUAAAGCUCCGGCGGUGCAGGAUGAGCCCGCGGCCUAUCAGCUUGUUGGUGAGGUAGUGGCUCACCAAGGCGACGACGGGUAGCCGGCCUGAGAGGGCGACCGGCCACACUGGGACUGAGACACGGCCCAGACUCCUACGGGAGGCAGCAGUGGGGAAUAUUGCACAAUGGGCGAAAGCCUGAUGCAGCGACGCCGCGUGAGGGAUGACGGCCUUCGGGUUGUAAACCUCUUUCAGCAGGGAAGAAGCGAAAGUGACGGUACCUGCAGAAGAAGCGCCGGCUAACUACGUGCCAGCAGCCGCGGUAAUACGUAGGGCGCAAGCGUUGUCCGGAAUUAUUGGGCGUAAAGAGCUCGUAGGCGGCUUGUCACGUCGGUUGUGAAAGCCCGGGGCUUAACCCCGGGUCUGCAGUCGAUACGGGCAGGCUAGAGUUCGGUAGGGGAGAUCGGAAUUCCUGGUGUAGCGGUGAAAUGCGCAGAUAUCAGGAGGAACACCGGUGGCGAAGGCGGAUCUCUGGGCCGAUACUGACGCUGAGGAGCGAAAGCGUGGGGAGCGAACAGGAUUAGAUACCCUGGUAGUCCACGCCGUAAACGGUGGGCACUAGGUGUGGGCAACAUUCCACGUUGUCCGUGCCGCAGCUAACGCAUUAAGUGCCCCGCCUG